CGAGGAUGCUGAUGAGUCCGGCUGCAAAUUAGUUUCUGCACGCUUGACAACUUCCGAUGGAGUGGGCGCUGUGGGUUUCGCCUUAUCAGCGGCCACUGGCGACGUCGCGCUUAUGUCAUCUGGAAAAUAAUUUAAAAAAUAGGCAGCCAUCAAGGGUUCAAAACCAGGCCCAGAACAUUGACCAUUCAACGAGCAAUCGCGGGGCUUUUUCGCACACGCUUAUCAAAUCACAUUUCCCGAGGCCAGCAAGAGAGAGAGAGAGUGAGAGAGAGCGAUGGUAAGACAUGCACUUGUUGAACGUGGCUGACGCACACAUACACACCGCCUCUUGCACCAACACAAGCAAAAGGGCGGAGAGUGAGCGCGGAGGGACAUUAACAAAAAGUGUAGCGCACUUCUCGGCGCAUGCGACUCUGCCUGCAAUGUUUACGUAUUGCCAUCGGGUUUGGCCAAUGUUUUAGACUUGAUUUUUCUAGUAUGGCAGUAACUAUAUAUGCAUAUAUAUGUAUAUAAUGCAUUCAAUGUAAUAUUCUAAAAAAUAAUUAUAUGGAAUUUGACAAAAAUAAUAUUUGAUAUUUGGGGAGUACAUUUUUACAUUUAAAGUUAGUAUCCUAACUUUAGAUUUUAAAAAGGCCAGUUAUGAAUGGAAAAGUGAGCAAAGCUCAGUCUUUAUCUAGGGGCAAAUCCAAUAUUUGCACUGUUUUUUUUCUGCACUUUUUUUCACAAAACGGACAUUGAUUUUUGCCUCCAUAUGGUGGCUAAAAUCGGACGUUGAGGCUGAAGUCGAAUUUGAACCCUGGCUAUUGCACUAGGGAGCUGUUCCUGUUCCUGUUCCUCGUCUUAUUUCAGGGUGUCGCUGGUUCCUCCCUUGAUUAGUACACGGAAAAAAAUACUGAUUCAACAUUAUCAAGGCUAUCCGAGGAUAGUGGUAAAAAGAAUUUUGAAACCACAAAGGAAUUCUUAUGAUUUAAAUACCUAGCAUUAUACUAAUAUUAUAAACUCUCAAAUAAUCUAAUCUUUUUCUUCCGUGCAUGUGUUUGUGGGUGUUUGCCUGUUUUUGCUGUCUGUGUGGGCAGCUUGACUAACGGUAGUAAAGCGGCAAAAGCAGCGGCAACCACCGCAUUACGCUGAAAAGUUCAUUUACAUGCUGGCUGUGAUGACAUUUCACGCACACACUGACGCCAUAAAGACACCCUUAGAUAUUGCUGUGUGGGUGUGCUUGUGUGUGAAAGUCAAACGCCCAUUGAUAACGAUGUAGCUCUACACAAAAAACACCAGUAAAACAGGCAAGCACUCCACCAGACUUUUAAAAGUAUAUCCUGAACAUUGGAAAACAGACAAAAAUAAGAUUUUUGGAUUUAUAAUAUAUUUGGGGAAAAUAUAACUUAAAUCUUUCAUUGAAUCGGAUACCAAAUCAUUAUACUACAACCGAAAAUGUGUUAUUUUAGUGAUGUGUUAAAACUAAAAGCGUGAGAGUUCAUAUUUUUCGGAUUUUUCCCAGUGCAAGAAGUUCGUUUGCACUGGAGAUAUUUAGAGAAAAGCAGUGGGCUUACUUCGCACCUGGUAGGUCAUCCGCAUACGCAGUUGACUUAUUGAUUUGCACACACGACAAAAAAAAAUGAAAAGCCACACAUCGGCGAUUCUCGGUUGCUCCUAUUCGCGUGCCUAAAUAGACAGCUAAUUUGAACUUCGCCGAAGCGCCAUGACGUAGGCGCCCUCCAAAAGGCCACCCGCCCACUCAUAAAGCCACCCUUUUUGUCGGAAAACGGAAGUAUUUCAGCAGUUAACCAACGCUGAUUGGUUGAGUGUUUGCAAAACGUCGGCUUGUCAGGCUUGUGAAAUAUGUGGGUGGUGGUGGGACGGGGCUGGAAGCGGAGGAGCCGGUGGAAAAACCUGACGGAAAAUCGCUUCUGAUGAGGAGCUUUACGGACGACACUCUGGACACGCUGACAACGAUGACGGCAACACGAACGGACAGUUCUUGCAUUAAUUUGCAUGCGGAAUCAAGCAUAAGUCUCUGUACGCACAGUGGGACUGCUUGAGUCUUACCCCCGAGUCUUACCAUUAAAAACAUAUUUUCUUUUUGAAAAUUAUAAUAAAAACAUGUUGCUGGAAUAAAAUUGUUAUUUAUGUA